rnacentral:rRNA from 1 species
CAGCAGCCGCGGGAAUACGAAGGUCCCGAGCGUUGUUCGGAAUCACUGGGCGUAAAGGGAGCGUAGGCGGCGUGGUAAGUCAGAUGUGAAAUCCCGGGGCUCAACCCCGGAACUGCAUCCGAUACUGCCAUGCUAGAGGAUUGGAGAGGUAGCUGGAAUUCUUGGUGUAGCAGUGAAAUGCGUGGAGAUCAAGAGGAACACUCGUGGCGAAAGCGAGCUACUGGACAAUAACUGACGCUGAGGCUCGAAGGCCAGGGUAGCGAAAGGGAUUAGAUACCCCCGUAGUCCCUGUCUCUUAUAC